GUCUCAACGUGGAGCUCGGUGAAAUUGAAGUAUCGGUGAAGAUGCCGAUUACUUGUGGUUAGACGGAAAGACCCCGUGAACCUUUACUAUAGCUUGGUAUUGAAAUUUGGUUAAGUAUGCUGUAGGAUAGGUGGGAGACUUUGAAGCUAUCUCGUUAGGGAUAGUGGAGUCGCACUUGAAAUACCACCCUUGUUUAAUUAAGUUUCUAACUCAUAGUGAUAUGAGGAGAGUGCCAGGUGGGUAGUUUGACUGGGGCGGUCGCCUCCUAAAGAGUAACGGAGGUGCGCAAAGGUU
rnacentral:rRNA from 1 species